AGAGAAAUGUUUUACUCACACACUCAUCCUCGUCUCAAUGCCCUCGCGGUUUUGAGAAUGCCGUAAAAAUACCGUAAUUUUUUGGCAUUUAUGCUCAUGCCGUAUAUUUACCGUUAUAAUUCGGUAAUAAUGCGGU